rnacentral:rRNA from 1 species
UGGGGAAUUUUGGACAAUGGGCGAAAGCCUGAUCCAGCAAUGCCGCGUGUGUGAAGAAGGCCUUCGGGUUGUAAAGCACUUUUGUCCGGAAAGAAAUCCUUGGCUCUAAUACAGUCGGGGGAUGACGGUACCGGAAGAAUAAGCACCGGCUAACUACGUGCCAGCAGCCGCGGUAAUACGUAGGGUGCAAGCGUUAAUCGGAAUUACUGGGCGUAAAGCGUGCGCAGGCGGUUUGCUAAGACCGAUGUGAAAUCCCCGGGCUCAACCUGGGAACUGCAUUGGUGACUGGCAGGCUAGAGUAUGGCAGAGGGGGUAGAAUUCCACGUGUAGCAGUGAAAUGCGUAGAGAUGUGAGGAAUACCGAUGGCGAAGGCAGCCCCUGGGCCAAUACUGACGCUCAUGCACGAAAGCGUGGGGAGCAAACAGGAUUAGAUACCCUGGUAGUCCACGCCCUAAACGAUGUCAACUAGUUGUUGGGGAUUCAUUUCCUUAGUAACGUAGCUAACGCGUGAAGUUGACCGCCUGGGGAGUACGGUCGCAAGAUUAAAACUCAAAUGAAUUGACGGGUCAUAGCUGUUUCCU